rnacentral:rRNA from 1 species
GCAGUCGAGCGAAUGGAUUGAGAGCUUGCUCUCAGAAGUUAGCGGCGGACGGGUGAGUAACACGUGGGUAACCUGCCCAUAAGACUGGGAUAACUCCGGGAAACCGGGGCUAAUACCGGAUAACAUUUUGAACUGCAUGGUUCGAAAUUGAAAGGCGGCUUCGGCUGUCACUUAUGGAUGGACCCGCGUCGCAUUAGCUAGUUGGUGAGGUAACGGCUCACCAAGGCAACGAUGCGUAGCCGACCUGANAGGGUGAUCGGCCACACUGGGACUGAAACACGGCCCAGACUCCUACGGGAGGCAGCAGUAGGGAAUCUUCCGCAAUGGACGAAAGUCUGACGGAGCAACGCCGCGUGAGUGAUGAAGGCUUUCGGGUCGUAAAACUCUGUUGUUAGGGAAGAACAAGUGCUAGUUGAAUAAGCUGGCACCUUGACGGUACCUAACCANAAAGCCACGGCUAACUACGUGCCANCAGCCGCGGUAAUACGUAGGUGGCAAGCGUUAUCCGGAAUUAUUGGGCGUAAAGCGCGCGCANGUGGUUUCUUAANUCUGAUGUGAAAGCCCACGGCUCAACCGUGGAGGGUCAUUGGAAACUGGGAGACUUGAGUGCANAAGAGGAAAGUGGAAUUCCAUGUGUAGCGGUGAAAUGCGUANAGAUAUGGAGGAACACCNNUGGCGAANGCNACUUUCUGGUCUGUAACUGACACUGAGGCGCGAAAGCGUGGGGAGCAAACAGGAUUANAUACCCUGGUANUCCACGCCGUAAACNAUGAGUGCUANGUGUUAGAGGGUUUCCGCCCUUUANUGCUGAAGUUAACGCAUUANGCACUCCGCCUGGGNGAGUACNGCCGCAAGGCUGAAAACUCAAAGGNANUUGACUGGNGCGCCGCACAAGCGGUGGAGCAUGUGGUUUAAUUCNAAGCAACGCGAA